AUGGCGAGAGAGCGCCAAGUGACGCUGAUCGUUGCAAGGCUUCCGAAGAAGCGCUCGUUAAGUAGUUGCUCCCGAUAUUGGGGGCCCGGGGCGGCCGCCCCCAUGCCCCCCUCAGGGCCGGCCCUGAAGGGUUGCUGUAGAUACGCCCUAGUUGCCGUUGGAGGGUUGCGGCCAGGGCUGGAUUUUGGCGAGUCGAUAUAUUAUUAUAUUAUCAACGUCCCCUCCCAGUACUCUGCAGCUGGGCCGGAUUUGUCUAGGUGGCCCACACUGCCGAGGCGUCCCUGCCCAUACCCGAGCCGAACCCCACCCCGCAACCGCGCCCCAGCUCCGCCGUCAGCAGCAGCGAGCAGCCGCCGCUUGCGGCGGUGUAGGCCGUGUCGGCCGAGCCGCAGGGGUGGUGGUGAGGUGAUGCAACCCCCGUUGUGCGCACCCACGGAUCUAGGCCCAGGAAGUCCAUUUGUUGCAGACAGGAAGCUUCUUGGUUUGCUUCAUUGCUUCCCAACAUCGCAAGAACCAAAGGGUGCCAUGGUGAUCAGCUUCAGUUACUUGGCAAUUACAAGACAGACAUGGAUCUUGGCUUUGUUGCUCAUCCGGGUCAUGGUGACUCGGGUCUAUGGCCAGUCUACAUCUGUGGCCGUAAGCAUCGAUUGUGGAAACAGUAGCACUGGCUACUACGGCUACAGCGACGCCACAACAGGAAUAGUGUACUCUUCUGACAGUGGAUUUGUCGAGGGUGGUUUGAGCCACAAUAUUUUGGAGGAGUUCAUGGCUGGUGCGGCGAAUGAGCAACAGAAAACCCUGAGAAGCUUCCCUGAAAGUUCACGAAAUUGCUACACACUGCGAUCCACCACUGGUAUGAAGUUUCUGUUGAGGGCUAUGUUUACUUAUGGCAACUACGAUGGGUUGAACAAGAGUAUGGAUGGGACCCUUUUUCUGUUUGGACUCCAUAUCGGUGUCAAUUUCUGGGAGGCGGUGAACUUAACAGGUUUGGAUCCAUCAAGAAUGGUAUGGAAAGAGAUGAUCACUGUUGCUCAGGGCAACUCCGU
rnacentral:rRNA from 1 species